rnacentral:lncRNA from 10 species
UUUAGAGUAGCUACAUCUAUAGGCACAUGCCCCCACACCCAGCUAACUUUUAAAGUUUUGUGGAGAUGGGGUGUUGCUUUCUUGCCCAGGCUGGUCUUGAACUCCUGGCUUCAAGCAAUCCUCCCACCUCAGCCUCUCAAAGUGAGAGGACUGCAGGCAGGAGGAUCAUCAGAAACCAGGAGUUCAAGACCAGUCUGGGCAACAUAGUGAGACCCUAUCUUUUAAAUAAAUAAAUAAAUAAAUUUAGCUGGGUGCAGCAGUGUGUGGCUCUGGUCCCAGCUACUUGGGAGGCUGAGGCAGGAUUGCUGGAGCCCAGGAGAUCAACACUUCAGUGAGCCAUGACUGCCACUGCACUCCAGGCUGUCUCAAAAAAAGAAAGACUUACCUAGCAGGACUAAAUGUGCUAAUCAGCAUGUGAGCAAUCUGGUCUGCUUGAUGAUUAUAAUUCUUUUGGUAAAGUAAUAAACUUGCAUUCUGGUUUAUUCAUCAGUCUUUUGAGUCCAGUUGAGAGACAGAGCAAGUCCAGAUGAACUGAACAAAAUACUUCCUGGCUCUGCAGGCACUGGAAUUUAGGGGUCACGCCCAGGUACUUGUGACAGUUAGUGCUCACCAAAUACAUGUGCCCCAUACAUUUCCCAGUCUCCCUGGCUGUUGCAUUGGGACCCUGUGACUGGGCCCUGCCCACUGGAAAGCAAGUAGAAAUGAUGUAUCGCAUCCAGACAGAGGAGACUGAGUGAAUGUGACUCCUCCCUGACUACACAGCAGAAAGCAAAGAACUCUAAGGAGGCAGAAUUUUAAGAUGGAAGUUGAGGUGGCUCACACCUGUAAUCCCAGCACUUUGGGAGGCCAAGGUGGGAGGAUCACUUGAAGACAGGAAUUAAAGACCAGCCUGGGCAGCAAAGCGAGACUUCAUGUCUAUAAUAAAUUGUAAAAAUUAGCGGGGCAAGGUGGUGCACGCCUGUAGUCCCAGCUACUGGGGAGGCUGAGGUGGGAGGAUUGCUUGAGGCAGGAGGAUCACUUUAGCCUAGGAAGUCGAGGUUGCAGUGAGCUAUGAUGGCACCACUGAACUCCAGCCUGAGCAAGAGAGCCAGACCCAGUCUCAAAAAAAAAAAAAAAAAAAUUAAAAAAAAAAAAAUGGAAGCAGCUCUGCCUCCUGAGUGUCCAAGGGAGAAGAGCCACCAAAAGCUGCCUGGGGUGAAGUGGACUGGGACAUGAGCAUGCACCUUGGAAACCAGCAGUACUUAGCCUCCAGGGUCCUCCCUCUCCCACCAGGGCUGGUGGGAGCAGGUUAGAUGUUCUUUAGUGCACACCUCUGGCUUUACAUUUCCUACUUGUACGGGAAGAGAACCCACCCAAAGUCCAAAUCCUUUCCUGGUGGGUAACUUUUUUUUUUUGGUACACAAAGGACCACCCACAGGUGGGCCUGUUCUUGCUUACUGACAAAAUUAGAAAG